AGCGAACGCUGGCGGCAGGCCUAACACAUGCAAGUCGAACGGAUCCUUCGGGAUUAGUGGCGGACGGGUGAGUAACACGUGGGAACGUGCCCUUUGGUUCGGAACAACUCAGGGAAACUUGAGCUAAUACCGGAUGUGCCCUUCGGGGGAAAGAUUUAUCGCCAUUGGAGCGGCCCGCGUCUGAUUAGCUAGUUGGUGAGGUAACGGCCCACCAAGGCGACGAUCAGUAGCUGGUCUGAGAGGAUGAUCAGCCACACUGGGACUGAGACACGGCCCAGACUCCUACGGGAGGCAGCAGUGGGGAAUCUUGCGCAAUGGGCGAAAGCCUGACGCAGCCAUGCCGCGUGAAUGAUGAAGGUCUUAGGAUUGUAAAAUUCUUUCAGCGGGGACGAUAAUGACGGUACCCGCAGAAGAAGCUCCGGCUAACUCCGUG
rnacentral:rRNA from 1 species